rnacentral:rRNA from 1 species
GGAACCUGCGGAAGGAUCAUCGG